AUUGAACGCUGGCGGCAGGCCUAACACAUGCAAGUCGAGCGGGGUUUUCGGACCUAGCGGCGGACGGGUGAGUAAUGCGUAGGAAGCUGCCCGAUAGAGGGGGAUACCAGUUGGAAACGACUGUUAAUACCGCAUAAUGUCUACGGACCAAAGUGUGGGACCUUCGGGCCACAUGCUAUCGGAUGCGCCUACGUGGGAUUAGCUAGUUGGUGAGGUAAUGGCUCACAAAGGCGACGAUCUCUAGCUGGUUUGAGAGGAUGAUCAGCCACACUGGAACUGAGACACGGUCCAGACCCCUACGGGAGGCAGCAGUGGGGAAUAUUGGACAAUGGGCGCAAGCCUGAUCCAGCCAUGCCGCGUGUGUGAAGAAGGCCUUCGGGUUGUAAAGCACUUUCAGCGAGGAGGAAGGGUGGUGUGUUAAUAGCACAUCAUUUUGACGUUACUCGCAGAAGAAGCACCGGCUAACUCUGUGCCAGCCGCCGCAGUAAGAC
rnacentral:rRNA from 1 species